UGCCCUCUUUCAAUAGUGAUUGACAUGGUCUCUUCCUCUUCCUCUGCCGUCUCUCUCAUCCGCUCAUCUUCGCCAUGUAACCCGCUUCUGCGGCUGCCUCGCAACUUGCUUCCGCUUCUACUGUGCCGCGCAACCCACUUCCCUGCCGUCGCGCAACCCGCUUCCCCGCCGCCGCACAACCCGCUUCCCCAGCUUUCUAUCAGCUUCGUAUUUAGGGCUUAAAGAGUUUUUACCACCAUAUUUGGAUCCAAAUCUCACAAAUCAAGAACUCAUCACAGGAGUCAACUUUGCCUCUGAUGGUUCUGGUUAUGACACACUUACACCAACUCUCAGUAAUGUAAUUUCAAUUCGAAAACAGUUGGAACAUUUAAAAGAAUACAAAAAUAGGUUGGAGAGGAUUCUUGGUAAACAGAAGAUCAUAUGAAGAACGCUAUAUUUUUCAGAAGUGCAGGGACAAAUGACUUUGUUAUUAAUUAUUUUACAUUGCCAAUACGAAGAAAGAAAGAGGAUAAGUUAUUGUUUGGAACGGUGUAGAAUUGAAGGAAGUAAUUGGUAUCCAGAGGAAGAGAAAGAAGAGGACAGAGGGUAAGUUAUUGUUUUGCAGCAUGAAGCAGCAGCUACCUGGCGUUGAUGCUAAAUUGCAGAAGAUUGCAGAUUCUACGAAGUUUGUUAUUGUCAUCAGAUGAUUGAUGGUUAUCUGAUAUGCAAUGUAACAGUCAUACGAGGUGAAUUCAAGGGGCAUUGAAAUAUUCUGUAAGAGUUGGCUUCCUGAGGCAUCCAAGCCAAAAGCAACAGUAUUUUUCUGUGAUGGAUAUGGAGACAUCUGCACUUUUUUCUUUGAAGGCAUGUUCCUGGUAUUAGUAACAUGUAUCUGCAAUUAACUAGAGCAGUAAUGUUGUGAAUUAGCAACUCAAACGUGUCAUGGGAUUAUUUUCAGGCAUAGCUAGGAAGAUAGCAUUAGCUGGAUACGGGGUCUUUGCUAUGGAUUAUCCUGGAUUUGGCCUUUCACAAGGCCUCCAUGGCUAUAUCCCUAGUUUUGAUGGUCUUGUUGAUGAUGUCAUUGAACAUUACUCAAAAAUCAAAGCUGUCUUAGGCAAUUGCAUAACUAGAAUUAAAGCAUCAAACGUAUGAUGUGCAUUAGGAAACUAUGAUGUGCAACAACCCCAAGGGUAACAUUAACAUUGCAGAGUUGAGAAAGGCCGCAGAAACUCACAAGGACAACUUAUCAGCACUUAUGAUAAAAUUUGCUUCCUAUAUAUUGAUACUUGUAUAUUCCAGUUAUAUAAGCAAAUUGACAUUAUUGUCAAACUUUGAGCCUUUUUUAUACUAAGUUUGGUUAUGAUUUGAUUGUAGGUAACGUAUCCCUCAACCUAUGAAUGUACCUACGGGCUUAGAUUAUUCCUGCGAGGCUGCGACCACUUUGAGCCUUUUCUUACUUUUCAUGAGAUAUACUUCAGUUCUAUGAAUGUACCUACGGGCUAGAUUAUACUUCAGUUCUAUUUUCUUUUAAAGGAAAAUGGAUGAUUGUAGGCUCAAUGUCAACAAUGAUGAAUUCUGUCUUAAAUAUUACAACCAGAGUGCAUAUAAGCUGUUAUCCAAAGACUUUGCGAAUCCUUGCAGCAUAGACCAAUAUGCUAUGAUAUGUGCACGACAGUGAUGCAAUAUUAGAAUAUUUCUAAAAAAGUCUUGCCUCUUCCUCCUCCCUCAAGUGAAUAAUAAUUGUGUUACUUUAUUUUAUGAUUGAUGUUGUAUUCUGUAGUUUUAUAUGAUUAUUUGUAUGAAGUAUAUUGUAUUAUAUAACUUAAGAUAGAUCAAUUAUUUGUAUGAUUAUUUUU